rnacentral:rRNA from 1 species
UACGUAGGGGGCAAGCGUUGUCCGGAAUCAUUGGGCGUAAAGCGCGCGUAGGCGGCUCGGUAAGUCCGCUGUAAAAGUCCAGGGCUCAACCCUGGAAAGCCGGUGGAUACUGGCGGGCUGGAGUCCGGAAGAGGCGAGUGGAAUUCCUGGUGUAGCGGUGAAAUGCGCAGAUAUCGGGAAGAACACCCGUGGCGAAGGCGGUUCUCUGGGACGGUACUGACGCUGAGACGCGAAAGCGUGGGGAGCGAACAGG